rnacentral:rRNA from 1 species
UUAUCUCUGUAGAGUCUGCAUAUCAAUAAGCGGAGGAAAAGAAACUAACUAGGAUUCCCUUAGUAACGGCGAGUGAAGCGGGAAGAGCUCAAAUUUGAAAUCUUCAAGGUUUUACCUUGACGAAUUGUAGUUUAAAGAAGUGUUUUCUGUUGAAGUUUCGGUAAAAGUUCUUUGGAAUAGGACAUCAUAGAGGGUGAGAAUCCCGUAUUUGACCAUUAUUUCAACUGUGUGAUACACUUCCAAAGAGUCGGAUUGUUUGGGAAUGCAGUCCAAAAUGGGUGGUAAAUUUCAUCUAAAGCUAAAUAUUGGCGAGAGACCGAUAGCGAACAAGUACCGUGAGGGAAAGAUGAAAAGAACUUUGAAAAGAGAGUUAAACAGUACGUGAAAUUGUCAAAAGGGAAGCGUUUGACACCAGUGUUGUUUUCUCGAAAAUCAAUUAAAAAUGGCUGGAUUUUGUGUUGUAUUGACCUUAUAAGCUUUCUGCACUUUUUUCAUGUCUUUUUUAAUGCACUUUUCGUUUAACAAGUCAACAUCAAUUUCUUUUGUUGUAAAAGGGUCAUUGGAAGGUGGCUUUCUUUUCGGAGAAAGUGUUUAUAGCCUUUGACUCCUGCAAUCGGAGAGACUGAGGUCUGCAGCGUAGAUCCUUCUUGGAUUAGAUUCAUUUGUGCUAAGUUAUAGCUUUUUAUAGACAACUUGUUGACUAUAUUUAGUCUUGUAGCUUACUCGCUUAUGCAAUUUUACCUACACUUAGGAUGUUGAACGCGCACAGAGUCUC